UACUGGGCGUAAAGCGAGCGCAGACGGUUACUUAAGCAGGAUGUGAAAUCCCCGGGCUCAACCUGGGAACUGCGUUCUGAACUGAGUGACUAGAGUGUGUCAGAGGGAGGUAGAAUUCCACGUGUAGCAGUGAAAUGCGUAGAGAUGUGGAGGAAUACCGAUGGCGAAGGCAGCCUCCUGGGAUAACACUGACGUUCAUGCUCGAAAGCGUGGGUAGCAAACAGGAUUAGAUACCCUGGUAGUCAAGGGCG
rnacentral:rRNA from 1 species